CUAAGCGUUUCUUCUUCCCUCCCCGUACGCCCCUAGGUACUUCUCUCUUUUGGGAAUACAUAAACACGUAGGCACAAUCUGUCGUGGUUGUUUCUGGCUGCCCUGUCUUCUGAGCUCCGCGGGACUCCAGCUCUGUGCCCUGAACGGGGCACCUGUGCACCCAGGGUUACUGUAACAAUGUAGCACCAACUUGUCGACUUCAAACAACAGAAAUCUGCCCUCUUACAAUGUUGGAGACUACAAAGAGGCGCUGGUGAGACAGCUUCCAGCAUUUGGUCCAUGCAG